GAGCCACGGUUCUAUCAGGCCACUUUAUGGUGACGCUGCAUAUAUUGAUGCAGGGCCAUGGUGCCAACAUUGGCAUCCUGGCCACGCUUCACCUUCUGCCCACAGAUUCUACAAAUGUCCAUGUUCAGCUCCUCCGACGGCUUAAUAAAAAGU